UCUACGACACAAGGAUCUGAAACUAGUACCAUAGAGUCCACUUCAGAAACUUCUACACAAAGUUUGUCUACUACACCAGGUAUAUCUACUACAUACAAAUCUGAAGCAAGUACUUCAAAUUCAGAAACCUUUACACCAAGUGCAACUUCAUCACAAGGGUCUGAAACAAGUUCUACAGUGUCCAUUCCAGAAACUACUACACUAAGUAAAUCUACGAUACAAGGAUCUAAAACAAGCACCACAGAGUCCACUUCAGAAACUUCUACACUAAGUGCAACUCCAUCAGAAGGAUUUACAACAAGUACUACAGUGUCCAUUUCAGAAACUACUACUCCAAGUAUCUCUACGACACAUGGACCUGAAAUAAGUACUACAGUAUCCAUUUCAGAAACCUCUACACCAAGUGCAACUUCAUCACAAGGAUCUAAAACAAGUUCUACAGUGUCCAUUCCAGAAACUACUACACCAGGUGAAGUGGUAUUUUAUGCAAAAAUUAAGAUAACAAAUGAAGAAUUCAUAGAUGCAUUUAACAAUCAAAGUAGCCCUGAAUAUAAAAACUUCACUGACACGUUUAUACAAGAGGU